UUCAAUUCCCACAUUUAUAUUUCAAUCACAUACACAGGUCCUUUAGAGCACCUUAAUGUGAAAUGCCUUUAUAAAAGAACAACAAGUGUAAUAAAUUAAGUCAGUAACAAAAUAUUAACUUUUUGACUACUUUUUUUCUUAUAUCAAAAUAUAAAGAUGCAUAGUCACAACCAAAACCAGCAAACAAUAAUAAAUAUUAUUUAUGUCAUACUAACUUUCACAGUGUAAUUUAAUUACACAUUUUACAUUUACAAAAUAAAAAGUUGUCUCUGUGCUCAUUUAAGCACUACGCCAUGAUGGGAAAUUCAUUGCAUAGUUCCAUGCAUAUACACGGGGUGGAAAAAUAAUGGAAACACUACAAAAUUGUGAAUGGAAUCUGUUUGCGUUGGCUACAUUGAAAGAACUUCAGUUGACAACACUGAAUGUUCUUCUUCCGUUGUUUACGUUCUGUAGCGAUCAUGUCACUGAAUUAAUUGGCUUGAGUGAGAGUCCAUGUGAAAGGGUCAGAAAAUGAGAGACCUGUCUGAUUAUAUAAGAGGCCAGAUCAUUUGCGUGCAUUUAGCUGGAGCAUCUGUGACAAAAACUGACACAUUAUUAGGUGUAGUGAGAGUGACAGUUUCUAAGGUUAUGUCGCUAUACACAAAUAAUGGGAAGACGACAUGAGCAAAGAGGGAACAGUGGGCAAAAAUCAAUACUGACAGAAAGAGACUGUCACAUACUGAGGACUAUUUAAAAAAUCACACAACUACAGCAGCACAGGUGACAGCAAAAUCGAAUUUGUAUCCUGAAGACCCUGUUUCCACAAAACCUGUCUGACAUGAGCUUCACAAAUCCAACAUCCAUUGUAGGGCUGCAACUGCUAAACCUCUGAUCACCGUUAAGUUCUGCUGCGAUGUGUGAACAAUGGUGUCAUGACCAUAAUACCUGGAUCAGACAACUGGAAAUUCCCACAUAUGGUCAGAUGAGUCGUCCUUCACGCUGUUCCCUAUAUCAGGAAGAGUUUAUGUUUGGAGAACACCCAAGGAAGCCUACAAUCCGGAAUGCCUGGUUCCAACAGUGAAACACAGGGGAGGUUCUGUCAUGGUUUAGGCAGCAAUACUGUGGUAUUCUGUUGGUCCCAUUAUUACCAGUCACGGCCAAAUUACUGCAAGGGAGUACAUGAACAGACUGGGCUAUCAGGUGCAUCCCAUGAUCCAGAUAUUUUUGAACAAUAGUUUUCCACCAAGAUGAUAAUGCCCCAUUCACAAAAAUAGAACUGUUCAUUCAUGGUCUGCAGGGCAUGAAGGUGGACUUCAACAUCUUCCUUGGUCAGCACAAUCACCAGAUUUGAACAACAUUAAACAACUUGUCAGUUUUGGAGGCUAUAGUGAGGGGCAGAUUCCCACCGCCAAAAUUUCUAAAACAACUUGAAGAUGUUCUCCAAGAAGAAUGGUAUAAAAUUCCACUAGAGAGUGCUCAAAACCUGUAUGAGUCCAUUGCAAGAAGGACCGUGGCUGUACUGAAGGCAAAAGAUGGUCUAACGCCAUACUGGUAUGUAUACAGGGUUUACAUGACUGAUAAUAAUAAUAAUGGGUUAUGGAUUAUGUGAUUGGAUUUGUUGGCACUUCCUUACAAUUACAACCAAUUAUAACAGCUCACAAUCAAUGACUCGCUCAAUUCCUUACUGGACUAUGAGUGUCUGCUCUUCUACUGCGAUGAAUGAUGAAUGACGAAUCACUGCUCACACAUGGAACUCCUGUCCUCUCUUGCAAAUGAAUCAUGACCCUUUUAUAACUUCCAUGUGGCCCAAAUGUAAGUCACCACACUGAACAGUUCCUCUGUUAUUCUGCUUGUCACGGGACCCUUGUGUUCAGUGACUUGCUACCCAGCAACAACUCGUUUGUUGCUAUUUGUUGCAGUGGGAACAUUACCGAGCUGUCACUCAGUAAUGGAUGUCCGCUUUAGCUCCACUAUUCCGGCUUUUAGGUAGUGUUUACAGAGCCGAUGCCUAGCAAUGGAUUAUUCUGUCACAACAUUAAUAAUGGAAUGUGUACAGUAUCUGUAGUGUUUUCAUUACUUUGUUCAGCCCCUGCAUAGCCUCUACAGUAGAUACAGAUGAAUGGUCAGUUUCAUAUGCCUCCUGCUGUACCACCACUGAUCCCUGGUCCACAUCGGAUAUAAACCAGGAUGAGCUUCAUAUGCAGAUUUCUGUCCCUGCAGGGAAUGAUACUCUGGUCAUCCAGUCUACAACCCUGUUGGUAUACUGACUGAGCCAUUCUCACUCCAAGGUAUUAUAAUAAUUUAUAUUAAAUAUGGAGAAGCCCAAUGACAUAGUGGAGAUAAAGUCAAAGUUACCUGAAAUACUGGCCAUAGAAAUACCUACCAGUUUAAUGCCUGAUCCCUUUUCUGAUGAGAAUGGUUUGCAAAGAGUAAUUUAUGUCUUGCACUCAACACAAAAGUUCCAUGUUCAAGUGAACAAUAUAGAAUUGUAUCCAGGUCAGUUCUUUUGCAUUAUGAAGCCAAAAUUCACGAAUGAUCCAACUAAAAAUAAAAUUCAGUUAACUAAUUACUCAACCCUUGAAAGCACAAUGAUAAUUAUGUGCAUAUGUCUUCCCAUUCAGUCAGUUAUGCAACAACUGAAUUUUCUGCCUGACCUCCAGGUACGCACAACCACCGACCCUUCUAACAGCAAGCAACAUUUCUAGCUGACAUACAUAUAAAGGCUAUUGCUGUAUUCUGUGACCAACUUUCCACAGAGAGAUUUAAAGAUAACUUCCUUACUCUUAACAGUGUUGAUGACAAUAAUCAGAUUCUGUUUAUUUUCCCCUAGACAUGAGCAAACAAAAUCAUACUUCUCUUAAAAGUCGCUGUGCUUAUCACCUACUUUUACUACUUAAAGACUUCUUCAAACAGCAAUCUGCCCUUGCAGCACAGUUACAGAAAACAUCUAAAUUUUUUAUCUUCAAUGAUGCAUAUCAAUAAAUAAAAUGCAUUCUUUACUUAAAAGGAAGAAAGAGAACAGCACAAGGAUACCACUAUUGUUGACAAAACAAAAUACUGGCACAAUUUAAGCACAAACCUAUAGAUUUCUUGAAGGGAUGGUACAACUGUUCGGACUGACAGACCAACAACAUUUUGGAAAUUAUCUUAGUUGAUAAUGACUUAAUUUUCAUUGGAAGAAAAAAUAAAAUUACUGCUACAGAAGCAGCUUGUAAAUAGAAAUGAAAAGCCUCAGGAUAAGGUUCAAGGAGAUGCCAGUCUUCCGACAUUCAUGCUAAUCCGUCUAAUGAUAAUGGGUGAAAUGUUUCAAACAUCAAAGCCCAAACCAAAUGAAAUAUGAGGGCUAUUUGGAAAGUAACCUCCAGUGAGCUGUUAACAAAACAAGCAAUGACAAAAAAAUAUAUUACAUAUAAAAAUACAUAGAUGCUUAAGUUACUUUUCAGCAUACUCACCGCCAGAAUUGAGGCAAUUGUAUUGGGGAAUAAGCUUUUGUGUGCCUUUGUCAAAGAAGUCUGCUGCCUGUGAACUCAGCCACAUUUUGACACCUUCCAUCAACACCUAAUUAUUGUUAAAGCACUGUAAUCCCACCCAGUUCUUCAUGUAGGUAAACAGGUGGUAGUCACACAGAGUGAGCUCAGGGCCAUAAGAACAGAGAUCAAACCUCCCAGUUCAAACGUUCUAGCGGUGCUCAAGUGCAAGCAGAUGCAUGCAGAUGUGCACUGUCAUGGAGGAGCACUAUGAGUACACUGGAUGUCAGCACUAAAUGCCUUGUGUUCUGAAUGGCUCUACACAACUUUUUAGUGUUUCGCAAUGCACUUCCAACAUUACUGUGGUCCCAUGUCACAUGAAUUCCACCAUCAGCACUACUUUACUGUCCCAGAAAAC